rnacentral:rRNA from 1 species
AUUGAACGCUGGCGGCAGGCCUAACACAUGCAAGUCGAACGGUAACAGGAAGAAGCUUGCUUCUUUGCUGACGAGUGGCGGACGGGUGAGUAAUGUCUGGGAAACUGCCUGAUGGAGGGGGAUAACUACUGGAAACGGUAGCUAAUACCGCAUAAUGUCGCAAGACCAAAGAGGGGGACCUUCGGGCCUCUUGCCAUCGGAUGUGCCCAGAUGGGAUUAGCUAGUAGGUGGGGUAACGGCUCACCUAGGCGACGAUCCCUAGCUGGUCUGAGAGGAUGACUAGCCACACUGGAACUGAGACACGGUCCAGACUCCUACGGGAGGCAGCAGUGGGGAAUAUUGCACAAUGGGCGCAAGCCUGAUGCAGCUAUGCCGCGUGUAUGAAGAAGGCCUUCGGGUUGUAAAGUACUUUCAGCGGGGAGGAAGGGAGUAAAGUUAAUACCUUUGCUCAUUGACGUUACCCGCAGAAGAAGCACCGGCUAACUCCGUG